rnacentral:rRNA from 1 species
CGCCUGUUUAUCAAAAACAUCUUUUCUUGUUAGUUUUUGAAGUAUGGCCUGCCCGCUGAUUUUAGGUUGAAGGGCCGCGGUAUUUUGACCGUGCAAAGGUAGCAUAAUCAUUAGUUCUUUAAUUGUGAUCUGGUAUGAAUGGCUUGACGAGGCAUGGGCUGUCUUGGAUUGGGAUUGUUUAUUGAAUUUGGUUUUUGAGUUAGAAUUCUUAAAUGUUUUUAUGGGACGAGAAGACCCUAUAGAGUUUAACAUUUAUUUGUAUAGCUUGUUUUGGUUUGUUUAUGUAGUUGCUUUGUGUUAAUGUUUUGUUGGGGUGAUGGGAAGAAUUUUCUUAACUCUUCUUUGUUUUGGUAUAUUGAUUUAUAUUGGUUUUGAUCCAUUUAUUUUGAUUAUAAGAUUAAAUUACCUUAGGGAUAACAGCGUAAA